rnacentral:rRNA from 1 species
UGGGGAAUAUUGCACAAUGGGCGGAAGCCUGAUGCAGCGACGCCGCGUGAGGGAUGACGGCCUUCGGGUUGUAAACCUCUUUCGCCUAGGACGAAGCCUCUUUGGGGGUGACGGUACUGGGAGAAGAAGCACCGGCUGACUACGUGCCAGCAGCCGCGGUAAUACGUAGGGUGCGAGCGUUGUCCGGAAUUAUUGGGCGUAAAGAGCUCGUAGGCGGUUUGUUGCGUCUAUCGUGAAAACCUGGGGCUUAACCCCGGGCCUGCGGUGGAUACGGGCAGACUUGAGUUCGGUAGGGGAGACUGGAAUUCCUGGUGUAGCGGUGAAAUGCGCAGAUAUCAGGAGGAACACCGGUGGCGAAGGCGGGUCUCUGGGCCGAUACUGACGCUGAGGAGCGAAAGCGUGGGGAGCGAACAG